GUGGAUAUAGUUCAGUGGUAGAGUGCAUGCCUAGUGUGCACAAGGUCCUGGGUUCAAUCCUCAGUACCUCCA
rnacentral:tRNA from 1 species